GGAGAGGUGGCAGAGUGGUCGAAUGCAGCGCCCUGCUAAGGCGUUGAUCCUUAAUUGGAUCCGGGGGUUCGAAUCCCCCUCUCUCCG
rnacentral:tRNA from 1 species